rnacentral:rRNA from 1 species
GCAUCUGUGCAUGCAGCAUAUCAAUAAGCGGAGGAAAAGAAACUAACAAGGAUUCCCCUAGUAACGGCGAGUGAAGCGGGAAGAGCUCAAAUUUGAAAUCUUAAAGGGUUUCCCUUUACGAAUUGUAGUUUAAAGAAGUGUUUUCUGUUGAGGUUUUGGUAAGAGUUCUUUGGAAUAGGACAUCAUAGAGGGUGAGAAUCCCGUAUUUGACCUUUACUUUCAACUUUGUGAUACACUUUCAAAGAGUCGGAUUGUUUGGGAAUGCAGUCCAAAAUGGGUGGUAAAUUUCAUCUAAAGCUAAAUAUUGGCGAGAGACCGAUAGCGAACAAGUACCGUGAGGGAAAGAUGAAAAGAACUUUGAAAAGAGAGUUAAACAGUACGUGAAAUUGUCAAAGGGAAGCGUUUGACACCAGUGUUGUUUUUCUGAAAAUCAAUUAAAGAACUGUUUAUGCUAAGCUGUUUAGACUUUAUCAGCUAACUGUUUAGUUUUGAGCUUUUCUUUAAUGCACUUUUCAGUUAACAAGUCAACAUCAAUUUCUUUUGCUGUAAAAAAGCUUGAGGAAGGUGGCUUGAGAUUCGUCUUAAGUGUUUAUAGCCUCUUGCCUAUGCAGUCGGAGAGAUUGAGGUCUGCAGCGUAGAUCCUUCGGGGCUAAAUGCAUUUGUGCUAAGCUUAUAACAUUUUAUAGACAACUUGUUGACUAUGAUUUGUCUUGUAGCUUACUCGCUUAUGUUAUUUUACCUACGCUUAGGAUGUUGACACACGCGCGUGCUCG